GAAGUCGGAAUUGCUAGUAAUGGCAGGUCAGCAUACUGCCGUGAAUACGUUCCCGGGCCUUGUACACACCGCCCGUCACACCAUGAGAGUUGGAGAUACCCGAAGCCUGUGAGCUAACAGAAAUGGAGCAGCAGUCGAAGGUAGAAUCAAUGAUUGGGGUGAAGUCGUAACAAGGUACC
rnacentral:rRNA from 1 species